GCUCACGCCGGUGUGAACUCAGAUCAUGUAAGAAUUUAAAGGUCGAACAGACCUAAUCACUGGGCUACUGCACCCAAAAUUUUCCUUAUCCAACAUCGAGGUCGCAAUCUGCUUUGUCGAUAUGAGCUCUCAAAAACAAUUACGCUGUUAUCCCUAAGUAACUUAAUCUUAUGAUCAUAAAUUAUGGAUCGAAACAACAAACAUAAAUAAAUGAUUUAAUAAUGAAGAGUUUAUUUAUUCUUCAUGUCACCCCAACAAAACAUCAUCAUUAAAUAUAGAAAGACAAACAAAAAACUAUAUAAAAAUAAAAUGUUAAGCUCUAUAGGGUCCUCUCGUCCUAAAGAAAAAUUUAAGCCUUUUGACUCAAAGGUUAUAUUCAAAAAUUUAUUAAGAGACAGUUGAUUUCUCGUCAAGCCAUUCAUUCCAGCCACUAAUUAAGAGACUAAUGAUUAUGCUACCUUUGCACGGUAAAAUACCGCGGCUCUUUAAAAAUCUGCUCAGUGAGCAGGCCAGACCUCAAAGUAUUUUCAAGAGGACAUGUUUUUGAUAAACAGGCGGAAAUCAAUUUUGCCUAGUUCCUUAUAAUAAGUUCACAAGGUAAAAAUUAUAUACAAAUAAAUAUACUAAUUCUAUCAUUAUUACAAAAAUUUUAAAAUUAAAUAAAUAAUCUUAAUAAAAAACCUAAAAUAAUUAUAAAAUCAAAAUAAAAAAUAAUGAACUAAAACGUAAUCUUAAAAAACUAGAUAUCUUGGGAAACGAUUAACAUCUCAUUUCUAUAAAUAAUUUAAUAAUAAUUAUGAUACAUUAACUAUAAAUUAUCUAUAAAUCAACCCAAAUCGAGACAAGUAAAAUAAAUACUAAAAUUUUGAUAAACCCUGAUACAAAGGGUACAAUAAAUAAAAUCUACUUUUAAAAAUUUAAAAUAA